AAGUUUCAAUAUUGUUGAUGUGAAGCCAGCAAACAUGGAAGAUCUGACUGGUGGGCGUCUCAACAUUUUGUGUGACACCCUGCAUAUAUUAGUUUAUUAAUUGUAAUCAUCUAGGAGUUAAGGGAGUAAACAAUAUUCUGGUUAAAUAAAUUUAGAGCCUUAUACUUGGUAUACGGUCUUCCCCACAUUCAUUCCCAAUUUUAUUUUUCUUCCAUUCCCCUUAUUGAAGGCUGUGGGAUUUGGUGAGAGGCCAUUUUUCUGUUUCUCAUUGUUUCUUGCUGUUGUCUACACUUGAUCAUUGAAGCUUGUUACUUUCUAGUAGAAUUUUAAACUUUAUUCAUUUUUUUUGGCCAUAUGUAACUAUUGCAAAUAUUUUUACUAUGUUCAUAUAUGCAGAGGUGAUAACAUCAGCAGAAUUUCACCCAACUCAUUGUAAUAUGUUAGCAUAUAGUAGUUCAAAGGGCUCAAUCCGUUUGAUUGAUAUGCGGCAGUCUGCUCUAUGUGAUAGUCAUAGCAAACUGUAAGUUUUCUGGGUUAUCUUGGAAUGAAACAUCCUUGUAACUUUGAAGGCUGCAUAAGAUAUCUUUUCAUUUGUUUAGGAUUGACUUCUGUAAUUAUUCUUCUUGUUCUUUGCCUUUAAACUCUGUAAUGAUGCAGGUUUGAGGAAAAGGAAGUGCCUGGUUCAAAGUCCUUUUUCACUGAAAUAAUUGCCUCAAUCUCAGAUAUUAAGUUUGCCAAGGAUGGAAGGCAUAUACUUAGUCGUGAUUACAUGAAUCUCAAGGUUCUAGUUUUCACAUUGUGUUAUUAAUUUUUCAAUCUCUGUACUCUGUUUCAAGCUAUACACUGAAAUUUGCUAUCUUGCCUGCAUAAUUUGUUAAUGCAAGGUGCAACUAAUUUCUAGAAGAUCUACACUUAUAAUAUUUUUAGUGUUCAGAGUAAACUAAUGGGAAUGAUGAGCAAGUGGAGUAAACUAACGGGGAUGAUGAGUAAGUCUUAUUGAUGGAAAAUUAAACACGAUAAUGGGGGGAUAUGUGAGUUGUACAACAGAAAAAUUGUUGCAUCAUGGCAUUGUAGUUUCCUUUGUGCUUUUAAUCCAUUCUCUUCCACCAUGGCUACCAUUCUCUCAUGUAGUUUGGAUUUCUUGAUUAUCAGUUGUGGGACAUAAAUAUGGAUUCGGGGCCAGUUGCUUCAUUCCAGGUUCAUGAAUAUCUGAGGCCUAAGCUUUGCGAUUUAUAUGAAAAUGAUUCCAUCUUUGACAAAUUCGAGUGUUGUCUUAGUGGAGAUGGGCUUCGAAUGGCGACUGGUUCUUACAGCAAUCUAUUCCGUGUUUUUGGCUGUUCCGAGGGGAGUACAGAAGCAUCAACAUUGGAAGCCACAAAAAAUCCAAUGAGGUAUGUCUGAGCAUCUAUUAAUGCAACAGAGUUUAUACCAAGGAUUUGUCUACUUAUUCUUGAUACACAAAGCUUGGUAUUGGCGGACGUUUGACUAUUUACCUUGUUAUUUGAGUAGAGAUAGAAAAAGUGUAUUAUCAUGUUGAUUUUCAGAUAGAUAAAUUGACUAUUGGUUAAUUUAUAUCAUGCACACUUCCAGGAGACAAGUUCAAACCCUGUU
rnacentral:misc_RNA from 1 species